CAGCCGUAAACAAUGUGCGUUAGGUGUGUCGGUAACCACGUGUUACUGAUGCGCCGAAGAGAAAUCGUGAAACGCACCACCUGGGAAGUACGGUCGCAAGGCUGAAACUUAAAGGAAUUGGCGGGGGAGCACCACAACAGGUGGAGCCUGCGGUUUAAUUGGACUCAACGCCGGGAAUCUCACCGGAUAAGACAGCAGAAUGAUUGCCGGGCUGAAGACUCUGCAUGACUAGCUGAGAGGAGGUGCAUGGCGUCAGUGACU
rnacentral:rRNA from 1 species